CUUAAAGCCUCGAUGAUGGGUUGAUAAGUGAAGCAAACCACUAGGGAACAUGUAAAGCUUUGUUACAAACCUGCACAUUCUGCACAUGGAUCCCAAAACUGAAAGUAAAAAAAACAAUUUGUAUUUCCUGUCUUUGCUAUUGUGAAUAGUGCUGCAAUGAACAUUUGUGUGCAUGUAUCUUUAUGGUAGAAUUAUUUUUAUUUCUCUGGGUAUAUAAGCAGUAAUAGGAUUGCUGGGUCAAAUGGUAGUCUCUUGUACUGCCUCUGGAUUAGGGAGAGCAGCUGCACUCC
rnacentral:lncRNA from 1 species